rnacentral:rRNA from 1 species
ACUGAGCCAUUUCGAGAAACUUGGAGACUGUUGAUCUAAUUUUUUUAAGUUACUUUGAUGGAAACCAAUUUAAUCGCAGUGGCUUGAACCGGGCAAAAGUCGUAACAAGGUAGCUGUAGGUGAACCUGCUGCUGGAUCAUUA